rnacentral:ncRNA from 1 species
AAUUCCUAGUAAGCACGUGUCAUCAUCUCGUGUUGACUACGUCCCUGCCCUUUGUACACACCGCCCGUCGCUCCUACCGAUUGAAUGAUCCGGUGAAGUGUUCGGAUCGCAUCAAUGAGGGUGGUUCGCCACCGACGAUGUCGUGAGAAGUUCACUGAACCUUAUCAUUUAGAGGAAGGAGAAGUCGUAACAAGGUUACCGUAGUGAACCUGCGGUAGGAUCAUUG